rnacentral:rRNA from 1 species
GACGAACGCUGGCGGCGUGCUUAACACAUGCAAGUCGAACGGAAAGGCCCUGCUUUUGUGGGGUGCUCGAGUGGCGAACGGGUGAGUAACACGUGAGUAACCUGCCCUUGACUUUGGGAUAAAUUCAGGAAACUGGGGCUAAUACCGGAUAGGAGCUCCUGCUGCAUGGUGGGGGUUGGAAAGUUUCGGCGGUUUGGGCUGGACUCGCGGCUUAUCAGCUUGUUGGUGGGGUAGUUGCUGACCAAGGCUUUGAAGGGUAGCCGGCCUGGGAGCGUGACCGGCCACAAUGGUACUGAGAGACGGCCCAGACUCCUACGGGAGGCAGCAGUGGGGAAUAUUGCGCAAUGGGCGGAAGCCUGAUGCAGCAACGCCGCGUGCGGGAUGACGGCCUUCGGGGUGUAAACCGAUGUCGACUGUGACGAAGAGGGAGUGACGGUAACGGGUAAAGAAGCACCGGCUAACUACGUG